GUGCCAGCAGCCGCGGUAAUACGGAGGGGGUUAGCGUUGUUCGGAAUUACUGGGCGUAAAGCGCGCGUAGGCGGAUUGGAAAGUUGGGGGUGAAAUCCCGGGGCUCAACCCCGGAACUGCCUCCAAAACUUCCAGUCUGGAGUUCGAGAGAGGUGAGUGGAAUUCCGAGUGUAGAGGUGAAAUUCGUAGAUAUUCGGAGGAACACCAGUGGCGAAGGCGGCUCACUGGCUCGAUACUGACGCUGAGGUGCGAAAGUGUGGGGAGCAAACAGGAUUAGAUACCCUGGUAGUCCACACCGUAAACGAUGAAUGCCAGUCGUCGGCAAGCAUGCUUGUCGGUGACGCACCUAACGGAUUAAGCAUACCACCUGGGGAGUACGUCGGCAACGAUGAGACUUAAAUGAAUUGACGGGG
rnacentral:rRNA from 1 species